rnacentral:lncRNA from 1 species
AGCAAACACAUAAAAGCAGCCAUUGACUGUCAUGCAUUAACUUGUCAGGGUGAUUUUACAUGCAGGCACAUAUCAAUGUGUGCAGGUGCUUGGACCAGCUAUCUCGUUCUCAACCCCAGUGAGGGCGAGUGCACUCAACCUCUCCUCAGUUUUGGCCGACAUGACGCCAAGUUCAAACACCUGGAGCAGACUUAAAGCCGCCCUCUCUAUUCACCGCAAAGGCAUGGGUAAUGCACACACAGACACUUGUACAGUUACCUGCUCCUUCGCUGAGUGCAGUUUGCUUUUUGAGCCACGCUCGCCAUCUGAAUUUGAAGUUUUUCAUUCUCUCUUGGUCUUUCACCUCUCACCAGUGCUAUUAACGCCAAGGACUGUGGCAGCGUCCGGCUCUCCUGGAAGGGAAGCUCUAGCAGAUCUCAGCAGGGAUCUCUUCGCCCCGCCCUUCCGGACCCCGCUCCCCAAACACCUGCAGUCACAGCUGCAUAGAAACGAUUCUCUGACUGUGUGUGAGGACCUUUCGGAUGCAGAGAAAGUGUAUGCAGAGUGUGGUCAGCCACGUGCCCUUCCCUGGGAGGAGUGUAUUCUCCCUCAAAUGAAAUUUUCACAUGAAAAAGUGUGUAAAGAUAGGAGAAGGGACCUUUGGUGAAGUCUUCUCCACAACCAAUGCCUCAGGAGACACUGUUGCUCUCAAAGUAUGUGGGUUUUUUUCCACAUAAGAAUGUUGUGGAGUAGCGCUGACAUACUUUUGGUAACGGCUGGUAUUAACAGCGAUUCUUGUCGUGCCAGAUCAUUCCAGUAGAGGGCAGUGAGAAGGUGAAUGGAGAGGAUCAGAAGACAUUUGGAGAGAUCCUGCAUGAUGUAUGAUCUCAUACUUUGAGAUUAUUAUCUCAAAGUAAUUACAGAAACUGCACGCCACACUUGAAGGGAUACUAUAAAAGCCUGUCACUAACAUUCGCCCCUUGAAAAGAUUUCCACAGCAAAAACGUUAUUCCUAAUAAUUACAUUCAUGUGAUACGUGCUCAGACUUAGCUAAACAGAGCGCUGUUUUCCUAACAGGGAACUGAGCAGCCUGAAGGAGAAGCAACACAACCAGACUCACAGCUUCAUUGGACUCAAUGAGUAAGCUUUUCAGGUCAUAAGAACACUAGUUUUAACCACGGCUUAUGCAACUGUACACUUAGGAUGCAUUGAGCUGUUUGACAGUAUUUUGGCAUCAGAACAUGACCAUUGGAGGCUGUUCUGAAGGAAACCAAUGCAGAAACACUAAAACAUCAUUUUAGAGCUUUCCAGUUCAUAAGAACACUAGUUUAAACCACGGCAUAUGCAACUAUACAUUUAGGAUGCAUUGAGCUGUUUGACAGUAUUCUGGCAUCAGAGCAUGACCAUUAGAGGCUGUUCUGGUGGAAACCAUUGCAGAAACACUAAAACAUUGUUUUUGAGCUUUUUAGGUCAUAAGAACACUACUUUUAACCACGGCAUAUGCAACUGUACAUUUAGGAUGCAUUGAGUUGUUUAAAGUAUUCUGGCAUCACAGCAUGACCAUUAGAGGCUGUUCUGGUGGAAACCAUUGCAGAAACACUAAAACAUCGUUUUUGAGCUUUCCAGGUCAUAAGAACACUAGUUUGAACCACGGCAUAUGCAACUAU